AAACACAAAACGCCCACUACGGCCCAGGAGAUUCCACUUCCGCCGCGAGCUCCCGGCGCCGGAAGUCCUCGCGGGGCUCGCUGGGAAACUACGCCACGCAAGCAUUCCCCAGCUCCCAGAAAGCCGUUCGUCCACUGAGCCCGCCUUCUCCAUGACUGAUGGCCAAUGAACAGGAAGAACUGUCAGGCUGCCUAUUAGAAGACAGAAACGCCAUACGCGUCAUACACCUGCACCCGGGAGGAAAGGCGAGGCUCUGCAUCUAGAUUUACCUCGUUCUCUUUUGUCUCCGCUUUUUUUUCACAUUUCCUUGCGCCCCUGGCCCUUGAGCGACAAAAAGGGUCCCGAGGCUGUCCCGAGGAACGGAGAGGGCACAUGGCCUAGCCACGAGUGGAGCUUCUGCUCCGCCGGAAAGGAUGCGCUGGAGCGGCCUCUUCCUUCUGCCACGGUCUUUCUUUGCCAACUAGUAGGUGAGGGCCGAAAGGCCGCGGGCCGUGGAGCUCGGGCCGGGGAGACUCUUUUCCAGCCUCUUGGGUCCCGCUCCUCCCAAUUCCCUGGAGAGGCGUCGAGCUUGCUGGGAAGUGCCCUCGGGUAAGGGGCGCGGAGCCUCCUGCGGCGAUCCUCUGUCUUCGGGUCGCCUUAGCAGGACGCGGCAAGCGGGACACUGACCUGGCCGGAGUCCCGCGCUCUCUCACCAGCUGCUUUGUCCACGAGUUGCUGCUGGGCGUCAGGGGUCCCACGGCCCGGAGGGAUCUAGAGCAGGGGGGCUCGGGGUCCUUUCCAUACCCUCGGAUCCUCUCUCACUCUCUCCACGCCUCGACCCGGAGAUGAUUUCAGGCUCCAGAUCUCUUUCAUAAAUGGAAAGAGUUUUCUUGGUUUGUUUUGUCUUAAUUAUGUAGGUGUUGCAUGCUUGGAAGAGAAAAUUAAGAAAAUUAAUUGGAAAACCAUAAAGAUAGCUUUCUCGUGAUAGCCACAAGGCUUGCUCCCUCACUCUGCUCAUAUGUCACCCCCUCAAGGAGGCCUUCCCCAGCUCUGUAAACAACCUGUGCUCGGCCUUACUUUUCUCCCUAAUGUUUAUCACUACCUGACAUAUACGUGUUUCCCACGACUCAACGAUAAGUGUUCAUGAGGGCAGACACUUUUUAAUGCCCUAUGACAAGCACCUAGAAUUGUGCCUGGCACAUGGUAGAUGCUUAGUAAAUAUUUGUUUAAUGAAUGAAGGUAAAAAACAUUUCUAAUACGACCAUCCAGGAAUAAGUACUAUUAAUGUUUUAGUCUGUUCUUACAGUUUUACUGUUCAGACAGUUAUAUGUCUGUGAAUAUAUAUGUAUUAUAUAUAUAUAUGUAUUUUUUUUUUUUUGAGACAGUCUCGCUCUGUCACUCAGGCUGGACUGCAGUGGCGUGAUCUUGGCUCACUGCAACCUCCGCCUCCUGGAUUCAAGCGAUUCUCCUGCCUCAGCCUCCCGAGUAGCUAGGAUUACAGGCAUGUGUCACCACGCCCGGCUAAUUUUGUAUUUUUAGUAGAGACGGGGUUUCUCCGUGUUGGUCAGGCUGGUCUCGAACUCCUGACCUCAGGUGAUCUGCCCGCCUCGGCCUCCCAAAGUGCUGAGAUUACAGUCGUGAGCCACCGUGCCUGGCGGAAUUUUCAUAUUUUAAGUCCCCCACCCUUGGACAUUUAGAUUUUUUCCAUCUUUCUGUAUUUGCAGAUAUGCUUCUACAUACACCUUUAUUCAUUUGCUUGAACAUUUCCCUGAGAAAAACUAGAAAUGGAAUUGCCAGAUUACUUUGUGUACCUAUUUCCAAACUGUCCUCCAGAAAGAAUGUAAUGCUUUGAACUUCCACUUGAGAAUCAAAUGUUUACCUUCCUCUGUUCCUCCAGAUUUGGACAUUUACAGUGUUCAGCCGUUGUUGUGGCAUUCCAAUUCAAUUGGGAAACAGCUUGAUGUAGCGUCCCCAUAAGGUCCACAGUAAUUAAAUUUUUUUUUUUUUUUUUUUUUUUGGUGCAGUGGUGCAAUUUCAUGGCUCACUGCAACCUCCACCUCCCAGGUUCAAGCGAUCCUCCUAUCUCAGCCUCCCUAGUAGCUGGGAUUACAGGUGCACACCACCACACCAGGCUAAUUUUUGUAUUUUUAGUAGAGAUGGGGUUUCACCAGGUUAGCCAGGCUGGUCUUGAACUCCUGACCUCAAGGGAUCCGCCUGCCUCAGCUUUCCAAAGUGCUGGGAUUACAGGUGAGAACCACUGCACCCAUCCUAUUAAACUUUUAAAUCAUGAUAGUUACCAUGUAUAGAGUGUUUAUAUGCCAGGCAUUGAGCUAAGUCCUUUACAUCUCGCACUCAUUCUGUGCAACAGCCUAAUGGGAGAAAUUCCAUGAAUAUAGUUACCAUUUCCUUGAUUUCUAGAGAAGCUGGAUAUGUUUUCUUUUUUUUCAGUAUUAUUUCUGUUUAUCCUUUUGUGAAUUGUCUGUUGUUAUUUUCAUUGGAAUAUUCUCUUUUUUUGACAGAGUCUCACUCUGUUGCCCGGGCUGGAGUGCAAUGGCGCGAUCUCGGCUCAUUGCAAACUUCUGCCUCCUGGGUUCAAGCAAUUCUCCUGCCUCAGCCUCCCAAGUAGCUGGGAUUACAGGCAUCCACCACCACGCCCAGCUAAUUUUUUGUAUUUUUAGUAGAGACGGGGUUUUGCCAUGUUGGCCAGGCUGGUCUCGAACUCCUGACCUCAGGUGAUCCACCCAUUUCGGCCUCCCAAAGUACUGGGAUUACAGGCGUGAGCCCCUGUGCCCGGCCACACCAUUAUUUUGAAGAGAAAAUUUGAUAAAAAUAAUUGGUCAGUUGUAAAGAUGGUUAACUACCCAACUGGUAAGAGAGAUUUCUAAGAGUUACAGAAUAGCAACUGCAGGAAGGAACUUGUGCCCUUAGGACUGAGGAAGUAAAAAGGAAGGAAACUCGGAAACACGAAAGAGCCCUUCCCCUUUCAAUUCAAGGUGGAGACAGGACCUCAGAAGAGGGAGUGGGUGCCCCGAGAACUCACAGCUAGUGGACAGCGGAAAGGGCAGGAACCGGACCAAGGUGAGGACAGCGGAACUGAAGGCCGCUGGUUACCUCUCCUGCCCUCCGCUGGCCACAGUGGAGAAGACAGCCCCUCCCUCCUGCUCUGACCUGACAGUGUUCAUCCAUCGCCCUGUAUUAGCGAAGAACAUCAAGCUGGCUAGCAAGGAACUGUAUACAGGGUCCAGCUGGGUAUCACACUGGACCUCACCCAAAGCUGAGAUGUGAUCCAGCUCAGUAUCACAAAGCAGAACGAAAAGGAUGUGUUUGGGCUGAGAGGCCAUACAUUGGCUCCGGCAUGACGGGUGACUUCUUCCGAGUCUGGCUUCUGCAGCAUACAGGGCUUCGCCAGCACCCAGCUCCUGCAGCAUGGGCAGCUCCUGUGACAGCAGGCGCCCACAGCCUGCAAAGCGUCUCCAGUGCCGCCGCUUCAGUGAACCGCAACCAGCGGCACCUAGCAGCUUUCUCCACCACCCUCUUCAGGUAGUUCUGUAGCAGCGCGUUUCUCAUGAGACACUUCCCUGUGAGCAGCUUUUUCUACCCUUGAGGUUGGAUUUCCAGCAAGGUCUGCCCAUGUGGUACCACAGCCACUUCUCUGCCAUUCAGUGAAACUGCCGUUAUGCCCUCUUCAAGGUCUGGAUCUAAGCCCAGGGACCAGGAAACCUCUUGCUUGAGUGCUGGAACUCAGGCCAGAAGGCACUCCAGAGCCGCGAGCCGCCUCGCACAGCCGGCGCGUUUCUUCUGCUCCCCCGGAAGAGGGCACGGUCUCCUUCCUGGCCGCUGUCUGCCGGCCGUACCGCACGACAGCUGGCAGCACCGUCAGCCACUGCUCGGGAGCUCGGAAGAUGCUCUAGCUCCGCGGCAAGUGUAGCGAGCCCGCCCAACCCUGGUGCAGGAGCCAUUGCAGCAAAUUGACAGGGAGUCCUCUGGGCCGGAAGUGGCCCUGGCCCUGCGCCGUAUGCUCUCUAGGACUGCAGGAGGCUCGGCAUCUCGGUGAUAGACCCAGGAAGUCAGUGGCUGGGCGGGGCGGGCUGUGAGGACUGAGGUCUGCAGCGAAGGUCCAGCCCCGUGGUCUUCGCUUCGUUCGGCAACGAACGCCCAGCGAAGGGACAUCCCUGUAGAAGUUCUGCUGCGUGUGAUCCAGCCGUCCCCACUCCUCCCGGGAGAGGUACAAGGCCACAUCCUCGAAAGUCACUGGCAUCUGAAACAAUGUGAAACAUCCACUCUCCAGGACAUGACAUGGACAUGGUGGAGGGACACCAUGGCAUGAGAUGUGUGGUGAGACCCCGGACUCCCAACCCACUGUCUCGAGUGAGGCCUGCCACUUCCAUCUGAUGGGGAAGCGGGUGAGCCACCCAAGGCCUUCUGGGGAGCUGAGAAAGAACAAAGACCAAGAGGUAUUUUCAGGGACCACAGUUAAGACUUAGGAUGUCCAUGCAGCCCCCAUCCUCAGCUGAGACCUCGGAGGACGGUUCCCAACGGCUCCCAGCGAGAGGCCCUGUGUCUCUAAUUCCUGCUGCUUCUCCUCCAGCUUUGGCCCAGGCCUGACCAUGGGCCUUGAGCCUGGACAAUUCCAGCAACACUAGCAAGAGCCCCAGGCUUCAGGCUUGGCUGCAAGUGGGGCCAGCGGGGUCCUGGCUUUCACACAGAACCAGCAGAUGCAGGAAGGGCUGAGUACCAUGCAGGGGCCGGGGAAGGGCCACUCACCUGGGACCAGGCAGUGAGGAGCGCUGCAGCCAUCUGCCGGUCUCUGGUCCUCCCCUCUCGGGAAAGCACGGGGAUCCGGGGGGAGGGGAGGGCUGUGGGAGGAGAGAGGUCCUCACGGUGACCAGCUCAUCCUGCUGGACCUGCUGCUACUUCAGCUGCCUCAAACUCCACCCCUGGCCCGACCCAAGGACAGGGUCGGAUGGCUCUGACGCUGCCAGGGGGCUGUGGGCCAUGGGGGGAUAGCGUCCCCUGCUGGCAUAGAGACCCUCAGCCCCACCUGGACCUGGGCCAAGCCUCCACCUCCCCACAGCUGCCUCCCUGGGAAAGCGCCUCUUCCCCGUCCCUCUCCUACCUCCGCCAGGCAGGAAGAGAGCUUUCUCCUUAGAGCCAUGACUUAGGGGUUCCCAGCCCCAUGCACCUUGAGCCCCAUCGUCCUGCGAUGCCCCCUCGGAGUGUGGCUCUUCUGGCUCCACCUUAAUGUGCAACGACUCCUGAGCGUCCCCUGAAGGUACCGCCUCCCCCAGCUUAGAAGGCAUUUCCUGAUGAGGAAGUCCACGAUCUGGAACCUAGAAAGGACAGCCCCCUCAGCACCCAGAUGAGUGGGAGAGACACCCAGGGCUACAUGCCAGGGCGCUCCGGCAGGGUCGGACACCAACAUGCAAGACACAGCUUGAAGGACUGUCCUUGCUGCCUUCAUCCAGCUCACCCCAGCAAGGACGGGCGGCAAGAGGAGGAAUAUUCACCAAGCCGCCUCCGCAGUGCCGGUGGGCGUGGUGCCCAAGGGCAGCUACCCCUUCUCAGCUCCAGCCUCACACUGACCUCAGCAGUGUAGACUGCUGUCUAUUAGUGUAUGAAGAAACCAAGUGUAGUGGCUUGAA